GACGAACGCUGGCGGCGUGCUUAACACAUGCAAGUCGAACGGAAAGGCCCUGCUUUUGUGGGGUGCUCGAGUGGCGAACGGGUGAGUAGCACGUGAGUAACCUGCCCUUGACUUUGGGAUAACUUCAGGAAACUGGGGCUAAUACCGGAUAGGAGCUCCUGCUGCAUGGUGGGGGUUGGAAAGUUUCGGCGGUUGGGGAUGGACUCGCGGCUUAUCAGCUUGUUGGUGGGGUAGCGGCUUACCAAGGCUUUGACGGGUAGCCGGCCUGAGAGGGUGACCGGCCACAUUGGGACUGAGAUACGGCCCAGACUCCUACGGGAGGCAGCAGUGGGGAAUAUUGCACAAUGGGCGGAAGCCUGAUGCAGCAACGCCGCGUGCGGGAUGACGGCCUUCGGGUUGUAAACCGCUUUCGCCUGUGACGAAGCGUGAGUGACGGUAAUGGGUAAAGAAGCACCGGCUAACUACGUG
rnacentral:rRNA from 1 species